rnacentral:rRNA from 1 species
ACAUGCCUAUAGAAUAGCGUUAAUGUACCGGAUCCCAUUAGAACUCUGCAGUUAAGCAUGCUCAGGAUAGAGUAGUACUAGGAUAGGUGACCUCCCGGGAACUCCUAGUGUUUUACAUGCC